AGAAGUUUAAGUUAAUAUUAAACCCAGGACCUUCAAAGUCCUAAAUAGGGACUAAUCCCUAACUUCUG
rnacentral:tRNA from 1 species